rnacentral:rRNA from 1 species
UGAUCCUGCCGGACCUGACUGCUAUCGUAUUGGUACUAAGCCAUGCGAGUCGUUGUACAAUACAAGGCGGACUGCUCAGUAACACGUAGUUAACUUAACCUAUGGAUGGGCAUAACCUCGGGAAACUGAGAAUAAUACCCAAUGGACCACAGUGCCUGGAAUGGCCUGUGGUUGAAAUGAUUUAUCGCCGUAGGAUAGGACUGCGGCCUAUCAGCUUGUUGGUGAGGUAAUGGCCCACCAAGGCUAUAACAGGUACGGGCUCUGAGAGGAGGGGCCCGGAGAUGGGUACUGAGACACGGACCCAGGCCCUAUGGGGCGCAGCAGGCGAGAAACCUUUGCAAUGUGCGAAAGCACGACAAGGUUAAUCCGAGUGUCUCCUGCUAAAGGAGUCUUUUGUCAGUUGUAGAAUCACUGGUGAAUAAGGGGUGGGCAAGUUCUGGUGUCAGCCGCCGCGGUAAAACCAGCACCUCGAGUGGUCAGGAGGUUUAUUGGGCCUAAAGCAUCCGUAGCCGGUUGCCUAAGUUUUCGGUUAAAUCUAUGCGCUUAACGUAUAGGCCGCCGAAAAUACUGUGCAGCUAGGGAGUGGGAGAGGUA